rnacentral:tRNA from 1 species
GAGACACUAGUAGAACGCGGCUAGUACAUCGCUUUGUCGAGGCGGAGUUGCAGGUUCAAACCCUGCGUGUCUCA